rnacentral:rRNA from 1 species
UACGUAGGGGGCAAGCGUUGUCCGGAAUCAUUGGGCGUAAAGAGCGUGUAGGUGGCUCGGUAAGUCCGCUGUGAAAGUCCAGGGCUCAACCCUGGAAUGCCGGUGGAAACUGUCGAGCUAGAGUCCGGAAGAGGCGAGUGGAAUUCCUGGUGUAGCGGUGAAAUGCGCAGAUAUCAGGAGGAACACCAAUGGCGAAGGCAGAUCUCUGGGCCGUAACUGACGCUGAGGAGCGAAAGCAUGGGGAGCGAACAGG